GACGAACGCUGGCGGCGUGCUUAACACAUGCAAGUCGAACGAAGAGCGAUGGAAGCUUGCUUCUAUCAAUCUUAGUGGCGAACGGGUGAGUAACGCGUAAUCAACCUGCCCUUCAGAGGGGGACAACAGUUGGAAACGACUGCUAAUACCGCAUACGAUCUAAUCUCGGCAUCGAGGAUAGAUGAAAGGUGGCCUCUACAUGUAAGCUAUCACUGAAGGAGGGGAUUGCGUCUGAUUAGCUAGUUGGAGGGGUAACGGCCCACCAAGGCGAUGAUCAGUAGCCGGUCUGAGAGGAUGAACGGCCACAGUGGGACUGAGACACGGCCCAGACUCCUACGGGAGGCAGCAGUGGGGAAUCUUCCGCAAUGGACGAAAGUCUGACGGAGCAACGCCGCGGGAGUGAUGACGGCCUUCGGGUUGGAAAGCUCUGUUAAUCGGGACGAAAGGCCUUCUUGCGAAUAGUGAGAAGGAUUGACGGUACCGGAAUAGAAAGCCACGGCUAACUACGUG
rnacentral:rRNA from 1 species